rnacentral:rRNA from 1 species
GGGUCAUUAGGUUGGUCGUGCCACCGGUACGUACUGGUCUCACUGAUUCCUCCUUCCUGAAGAACCUUAAUGCUAUUAAUUUGGUGUUGCGGGGAAACAGGACUGUUACUUUGAAAAAAUUAGAGUGUUUAAAGCAAGCUAACGCUUGAAUACAUUAGCAUGGAAUAAUGAAAUAGGACGAUCGAUCCUAUUUUGUUGGUUUCUAGGAUUGACGUA